rnacentral:rRNA from 1 species
AUCGACAACCACACUACCCUGAACAAGCAUGAUCUGGUCUGAUCUCAGAAGCUAAGCAGGGUGGGGCCUGGUUAGUAUUUGGAUGGGAGACCACCUAGGAAGACCAGGUGCUGUAGGCA